AUCGGUAGCUGCGUUAGAUAACUCCGAUGACUAAGUCGAAAAUCCCGUGGCACUCGGAUCGGUGAAAAUAUUCCUGUUGCGUUUCGACAAUGGAAAAUAUUCCGCGACCGGGAAAUUAGUGACGCAAGUGUCCACUCGAGUUUAUCUUUAACAAACAAGUCAAAUGUCACCGUACUCGCUGUCGGAGCUCGACGGAAAUCUGUCCCUAUUCUUCCCGAGAAUAUUUCCAAAACUAAGCGAACGCCCGAAGGAAUCAUUUAUUAUGCCGGCUCAUUGCUCAACUCCUAAGAACGCCCUGAGUAUUCUCUAGACCUCCAUUUUGUCCGCAGGAAGUCAAGAAUGGACUUUAAAAAGGGAGGAAGUCGGAGGCUUGGCAUCCCCGGAGGUCCAGCCUCGCCCGGGGCCCAUAAGGGUGCCGAAAAAAGAGGGAGAUCCGAAAGCUGGACGCACAUUAAGACAUCCACGGGGAAAGUGCGUUCCCGAGGCCUUCCCCGGGAUUACAUGAUCCAGCAGGUUGCAGGCAACGGUAACACCCGCCACCCUCGGCAUUUUGCAACAAUGUUGAUAUCGAACUCGUUAAUUUCGGAAAGGUCUCGAUGAGUCACGGAAUACUGCCUGGAAAUAAGACAGCCUGAACGGUUCACCAGGUUCGAGACUGGGCCAGUUACCGGCGAAGACAGGGAAACGCCGCCUGGACGAAUUCUGCACAAAGGGAAUAAUUAGGGCUGACGACUCAGGUGUUGUCACGCAGGUUGCGCCAGGAAUUCCCCUCUUUACCUGCGCCCUGGCCUUUGAUAAGUCACAGAGUGCGUGAUCUCGAGUACGCUACCUGGAAGCCAGGCUUCCAGAAAAUACUUAUCAUCCCGAGAGUUCGUCGGACGAGGUUUACCAACACUCUUCGGGCCACUCGUCCCGGUGUUCGCAAAUUGACCCUCUUCGGGGUCUGGUCUUGCCGAAGGGGCCGAGGACUCCCUCAGGACGUGAAAAGGGAAGCGGUAACGGGAACUCUGGACGUCCGGGACUUAAAAGCGAAAACCGCUAUUCAAAUUUGACAAAAACUCGGCGGUACAGAUCGAGGUGUCCGGUUACUAAGCCGCAAGGCAAAGGGUUGAAGAGGAGGCUGUCUCUGCUGGAAAUGGAAAACAUCCACCACUCUGUCUCUCCGUCCGUCCAGCUACCCCUGCGCCAUUUUUCGGCUCGUGCCGAUUGAAAUUUACUGCCGGACUUUAUCUGAGGUAAUCGAGAUCCAUCUCUACCCUAACCAGGAGUCUCGAGUCCCACUUUGCGUUUCAACCGUACGGUUUAAUCGACAUAAAGCAUUUUCACAUCCCGUUUUUUGUUUUUUUUUAAUAUUCCGUGGAAUUUUAUCAGAUACAUCGAGAGCUCGGUUAGUUCCAUUCGACGCUCUUUGUAGGUACUGCAGAUAUUUAAUUGUAUUUCGUUCAUAGAGGCCUAAUAAUGGGUUACAUCUGCUAAUUACAGAUGAUGCUUUCCUCGAGGCAGACACCUUCGAAGAAAGGAAGGAUCAUCAACGGGGUUAUUAUUGGAAAUUGGGGCACCAAGGGAGGAAUGGCCGGUCGUCGUUGCGGAGCGUCUACAAAGGGCGGCGAUUAUUGCGGAAAACCAUAAUAAAGCGAGCGAAGGUGCCCUGGCCGUGGAGCACUUUCGGCUCCGUCCUGAAAAGGACCUACUCCUUGUAAAGGUGACGUUACAGGGUCAGGUCGGACGCAAUAAAAGCUGGAUUCCCGCACUUUCGUCGACGCACGACUGCCGUUUAUUACGGGAACCGUCCCAGGUCCCGAAGGUUUACGAGCGGGAUUAAGCGAGGAGCUCGAUUAUGGCGUAUCGGAUUAACUUUGCCUGACUUCAGGAACGGUUUAAAUGAGUUAACGACGCACUCCGCUUGGCAAAUCGCCUCCUGUUUACCCUCUGCAAAUUAUUAUCCGGAUUAGAAAAACUCGACUUUUCCAGGAAGUCAUCCUGGAAGGGAGCCUCCGCACCCCGUAAGUCGAUUGGCGGGGUGGAUUGCAUUUUCCAAGGGUUCCAGAUCUUUACGGCAACGCUCUUUUACGGGGUCUCCUCGUAGGGUGUUUCCUAGACCUCGCCUUUACCUAGGAUGCCGUUUAAUAAUAAUCCGUCGCUAUGGUAUCGAGAAAAAAAAAAUGGUCACUUUUUGCUUAGCUCUUCGCUUCUCACGAGAAAAAUUAAAUUUCUGAUGUUUCCGCUGGUUUUCCUUUAUAGUGAUAUUGGGAUGUGGAAAGUCUUCAAGGAUUCCCCCUGCACAUGCCCGAAGGGAAAGCGGUUAAUUAGACGUAGAAUUUACGCAACGGUUGUCGCAAUCUCGACAACCACCAGGUUACGUGCCGAAGAAAUUUCAAAAUCAGGAGGAACGUGACGCACGUUACGGAAAUCGCUGACGCCGCCCGCGGGGGUGCGGGCCUCUUCUGAUCUUCAUCAGCGGCGACCCUCGGCCAUGGGGAUGACCGUUUCUGGGUUCUCAUCCCGUAAAUAAAUGACAUCUCCGUUUUCACGAGACUACCUCCUCUGAAACGGUACUAGAAAGUAGGUAAACCCACGUCCUACCCUCUUACUAAAUUGAAGAUUACAGUUCCAUGUUGCGUGUACAGAAUUUCCAGACACGUUUGAGGCGAAAAUCAAGAACGCCUAAAAAUGCGUAUUUCCCCUGAAAAAACUUGCAGCCCCUCGGACGAUAGACCAAUUUGUAGAGAAGAACCUUCCCCGUCGAGCUGCAGCGACAGCAGAAGCUGGUUCCUAGGUCGGAUCUACUGCAUUUCCCGGGUGGAGUUCUCGCAAAUUCCUUUGUUCGGCCAGAAGUCCAGGUCCGGGUGAGAGCCUCUGGCUGCAAAAUUUGGAGAUGUUGGUCAGCAUGUCAUAUGGUCAAUAGCCGAUGGCCUUGUGGGUGGACCAGGGUGCAGAUGCAGGGCCCUAGGAACAACCCUUCCGUAAUAACGUCCAACGAAGGGGCUGUGCGCUGCCUUUUUCCAUUGUGUGUGCCGACGCCCAGAACGCAUUGUGCAUCCUGAUGCAUAAAUGCAUCCUGGGUGCGAGCGGCAGGAGCUACGUAGCU